rnacentral:lncRNA from 1 species
UGGCCUCUGCUAGUUGUUUGUCCCCCAGUCUUGGGUGUUACCCAGCUUCUGUCAAACUCCAAAACCACCAGACCUUAUUAUAGGGUUCCAAUGGGUGCUUUUGGGACUGUUCAAUCACACAGGCCCCACUUCAUCGCAGUGCACUGUCAAGAGGUGGGCGGGAAGAACUACGAAGCGUCCAUGUCACACGUGGAUUGUUUUGUCAAGGAGCUGCUGUCCAGUGAUGCCAUGAAGGAGUACAACAGAGUCCGUGUCUACCUCGACGAGAACUACAAAUCCCAGGAGCAUUUCACAGCACUAGGAAGUUGCUACUUCCUUCACGAAUCAUUGAAAAACAUCCAGCAGUUUGAUUUCAAAGCCAAGAAAUUCAAGAAGGUGGUUGGGAAAGAGAUCUACUCAGACACACUAGAGAGCACACCCAUGUUGGAGAAGGAGAAGUUUCCUCAGGACUACUUCCCUGAGUGCAAGUGGUCCAGAAAAGGCUUUAUCAGGACUCGAUGGGCUCUGGCUGACUGUGCUUUUGACCUGGUCAACAUCCACUUGUUCCACGAUGCCUCCAACAUACUGAAGGCCCUGGGCUUCGUCUUAGAUAGGAUCACUGACCAGAGGUUUGAAAAGGUGCCAUAUUUUGUCUUCGGAGACUUCAACUUCAGGUUGGAUACAAGGCAGGUUGUUGAGAGUCUGUGCUCCACUGCCACCAUGCAGACGGUCAGACUAGGUGACACCAAUGAAGUUGACAAGCUAAUAUUCAGAGAAUCUGAGAACGAUCGCAAGGUUGUACUUCAACUUGAAAAGAAGCUUUUCAAUUAUAUUAACCAGGAUGUUUUCCGGGAAAACAAUGGGACCCUGUUUUUACAGUUUGACAGUGAGCUGUCCUGUUUCAAGGAACGGCUGCACGAGCUGGAGAUAUCCUUUCCUCCCAGUUAUCCGUACAGUGAAGACAGCAGUCAGGGAAAGCAGUACAUGAACACUAGAUGCCCUGCCUGGUGUGACCGCGUCCUUAUGUCUGCCACAGCUAAAGACCUGGUCUUAAAGCCUGAAAAUGAGGAGAAGAACUUGGUCUAUGACAAUAUAGGGCCCAACGUCUGCAUGGGGGACCAUAAGCCUGUCUACCUGUCCUUUCGUUUAACAACCGGGGCAGGUAAAGCUAAUGCAAAUAAGCACAAGUGUUGUAACGUGCAGUGAUGUCUUG